UUGCAAAGCACUCUGAAAAGAGGGUGAAAAGAACCUGAAACCGUUAUGUUGGAAGCGCAUUGCAGCAGAGUGAAGGGUGCGUUUUGUUCAGCUUGCGCUUGCGUAGGUGUACUCGAAACGUUAUCCGCCAGUCGUGAGCUUUUGGUGGCUGAUCCAUAGUCGCUGGAGGUGGAGGGCUCCCCUUUUAAUGGGUGAGGACGAAUCUGGAUAAUGCUGUGAUUCGACCCGUCUUGAAACACGGACCAAGAAGUCUAGCGUGCAUGCGAGUCAAAGGGUGUGCAAACCUGUGGGCGUAGUGAAAGCAAUUUGAAAACGUUGCAGUUUGAGGCGGCAUACGAUCGUUGAUUGUAGGUCUGACCUGGAGCAUGUAUGGUAGGACCCGAAAGAUGGUGAACUAUGCUUGAGUAGGGUGAAGCCAGGAGAAAUUCUGGUGGAAGCUCGUAGCGGUGCUGACGUGCAAAUCGCUCGUCUAACUUGAGUAUAGGGGCGAAAGACUAAUCGAACCAUCUGGUAGCUGGUUUUCUCCGAAGUUUCUCUCAGGAUAGCGGACCGAUAUAGUGUUGUUGUGUGU
rnacentral:rRNA from 1 species